CCCUGGUUGGUUCAAUAGGUAGAGCAUGUGACUCUUGAUCUUGAGGUCAUGAGUUCAAACCCCAUGUUGGGCA
rnacentral:tRNA from 1 species